CAGCAGCCGCGGUAAUACGGAGGGGGCUAGUGUUGUUCGGAAUUACUGGGCGUAAAGCGUACGUAGGCGGCUUUGUAAGUUAGAGGUGAAAGCCUGGUGCUCAACACCAGAACUGCCUUUAAGACUGCAUCACUUGAACGUCGGAGAGGUGAGUGGAAUUCCGAGUGUAGAGGUGAAAUUCGUAGAUACUCGGAAGAACACCAGUGGCGAAGGCGGCUCACUGGACGACUGUUGACGCUGAGGUACGAAAGCGUGGGGAGCAAACAGGAUUAGAUACCCCUGUAGUCCCUGUCUCUUAUAC
rnacentral:rRNA from 1 species